CCUACGGGAGGCAGCAGUAGGGAAUCUUCCACAAUGCGCGAAAGCCUGAUGGAGCAACGCCGCGUGGGUGAAGAAGGUCUUCGGAUCGUAAAACCCUGUUGUUAGAGAAGAAAGUGCGUAAGAGUAACUGUUCACGUUUCGACGGUAUCUAACCAGACAGCCACGGCUAACUACGUGCCAGCAGCCGCGGUAAUACGUAGGUGGCAAGCGUUAUCCGGAUUUAUUGGGCGUAAAGGGAACGCAGGCGGUGUUGUAAGUCAGAUGUGAAAGCCUUGGGCUUAACCGGAGUAGUGCAUGGGAUACUGGGAGACUUGAGUGCAGAAGAGGAGUGGGGAACUCCAUGUGUAGCGGUGAAAUGCGUAGAUAUAUGGAAGAAUACCAGUGGCGAAGGCGGCUCUCUGGUCUGUAACUGACGCUGAGGUUCGAAAGCGUGGGUAGCAAACAGGAUUAGAUACCCUGGUAGUC
rnacentral:rRNA from 1 species